AGAAUAUUUAAUACAAAUAAUACAAAAUGUUUGUAUUAAAGAAUAGUAAUCUAUUUCACAUCAAUUAGCAAAAUCAUAGUUUUUCAGCAAUACUCUAUGGCUACCAUAAUAACUUUAAUUUUAACAAUUAUAUUCAACAGUAUUCAGAGAUUCCUGGAAUUUAAAGAGAAGUGCUGUACAUUAGGUGCCUAUGUCACCUUUGGCACUAGCAGCAGGGUGUUCUAAUUCUUUUGGGGAAGUGAUAGUAAAAAUUGUAUUUAAUUUAUAAAAAGUUUUGCUGGUAUUAAAAGAAGAGGUUUUCUCUUUUACCCGCUUCACUCCUGUGUCUACACCUAUCUCAAGAAUUUUCAGGAACUAAUUAACUAGCUAAAUCUAACUCUUGCUGUGUGGUGGUGGUGGUGGUGUGGUGGUAACAUGAAAGACAGGAAUAGUGAAAAAAAAGAAUAAAUAUUUAGGUAAUUCUAACAAUUAUCAUUACAUACUAUAUAUAUUUUGUAUAGGAGACAAACUGAAACCAUGAGUUUCCAUGCCCCUUGUGGCAUACCUUUUAUUUUAUAUUUAAAUAAUGAAAUAAUUUGGGUCUUUUCAUUGCAUUUUUUGUAUCUCUAGAAAACUUAGUCUCCAAUGAGAAAGGUGUUAUUUAAGGAAAACAUAUUUAUUCAAGUACUUUUCAAUAAAGUAAUACUUCCUGUUAAAAAUGUUAUUUAAUUUUUAUCUUGUAAAUGUAGGUUAUAAAGCUGUUUGAUGACCUGGUUUGGUUUAUCUAGCUAGGUAUUUUGAAGUGUCAAAUAUAUUAAAAUAUAUAUAUAUGCAUUUACAUAUAUUCUAAACUGUUUAGUCAGGCAUCCUUCUCUUCAUAAUUUAUUUUGCUUUAUUUUUUAAGGAGUCAUUUAUUUCAAUUAUAAAGACAUCUGGAAGCUACAGGAAGCUCAUCUAACUUUGUUACAAUUCUGAUUGCUAUCAGCAGUUUGCUAUUUUUUACCUGAGUUUCCUGUUUAUUUGUAAAGCAUCUAAAUGACAGCCUGGUUCACUUUUCAGUUUUAUAUUAGAAGCAUUCACAUUUCGUGCUGUCUUUGAAUUCAACAGAUGUUUGUCUUUUGGUUGUUUAUCUUAGUUGAAUAAUAUUAAAGUUUUGUGAGGAGAACAGUG